rnacentral:rRNA from 1 species
AGCGACAGAUAAGGAGCUUGCUCCUUUGACGUUAGCGGCGGACGGGUGAGUAACACGUGGGUAACCUACCUAUAAGACUGGGAUAACUUCGGGAAACCGGAGCUAAUACCGGAUAACAUUUGGAACCGCAUGGUUCUAAAGUGAAAGAUGGUUUUGCUAUCACUUAUAGAUGGACCCGCGCCGUAUUAGCUAGUUGGUAAGGUAACGGCUUACCAAGGCGACGAUACGUAGCCGACCUGAGAGGGUGAUCGGCCACACUGGAACUGAGACACGGUCCAGACUCCUACGGGAGGCAGCAGUAGGGAAUCUUCCGCAAUGGGCGAAAGCCUGACGGAGCAACGCCGCGUGAGUGAUGAAGGGUUUCGGCUCGUAAAACUCUGUUAUUAGGGAAGAACAAACGUGUAAGUAACUGUGCAUGUCUUGACGGUACCUAAUCAGAAAGCCACGGCUAACUACGUGCCAGCAGCCGCGGUAAUACGUAGGUGGCAAGCGUUAUCCGGAAUUAUUGGGCGUAAAGCGCGCGUAGGCGGUUUCUUAAGUCUGAUGUGAAAGCCCACGGCUCAACCGUGGAGGGUCAUUGGAAACUGGGAAACUUGAGUGCAGAAGAGGAAAGUGGAAUUCCAUGUGUAGCGGUGAAAUGCGCAGAGAUAUGGAGGAACACCAGUGGCGAAGGCGACUUUCUGGUCUGUAACUGACGCUGAUGUGCGAAAGCGUGGGGAUCAAACAGGAUUAGAUACCCUGGUAGUCCACGCCGUAAACGAUGAGUGCUAAGUGUUAAGGGGGUUUCCGCCCCCUUAGUGCUGCAGCUAACGCAUUAAGCACUCCGCCCUGGGGGAGUACGACCGCCAAGGUUGAAAACUCAAAGGGAAUUGACGGGGGACCCGCACAAGCGGUGGA